rfam:Ictidomys tridecemlineatus contig104257, whole genome shotgun sequence.
UGGGUUGUGGCUCAGUAGUAGAGUGGUUGCCUUGCAUGCGUGAGGCACUGGGUUAGAUUCUCAGCACCACAU